rnacentral:rRNA from 1 species
UACGGGGGGAGCAAGCGUUGUUCGGAUUUACUGGGCGUAAAGGGCGCGUAGGCGGCGCAACAAGUCACUUGUGAAAUCUCCGGGCUUAACCCGGAGCGGCCAAGUGAUACUGUCGUGCUAGAGUGCGGAGGGGGCUACUGGAAUUCUCGGUGUAGCGGUGAAAUGCGUAGAUAUCGAGAGGAACACCUGCGGCGAAGGCGGCCUGCUGGGCUCUUGCUGACACUGAGGCGCGACAGCGUGGGGAGCAAACAGG